rnacentral:rRNA from 1 species
ACAAGAGCGUAAGGUGAAUGCCUUGGCAUCAGGAGCCGAAGAAGGACGCGACAAGCUGCGAUAAGCUGCGGGGAGCUGCAAAUAAGCAUUGAUCCGCAGAUUUCCGAAUGUGGAAACACACACGGUGAAGAAUCGUGUAGCGUAAACUGAAUACAUAGGUUUACGCGGGGAACCCCGGGAACUGAAACAUCUAAGUACCGGGAGGAAGAGAAAUCAACCGAGAUUCCGCGAGUAGUGGCGAGCGAAAGCGGAGGAGGCUAAACCGACAGUAGAAAUACGGUCGGGGUUCGGACUGUUGUAAGCGAGCGGAAGUUAGUCGAAUGGCAUGGGAAGGCCAGCCGGAGGGAGUGAAAGCCUCGUAGGCGAAAACGGAAGCGAGUGAACAGGAUCCAGAGUAUCAGCGGACACGAGAAAUCCGGUGAGAACGUGGGGGGACCACCCUCUAAGCCUAAAUACUACCUGAUGACCGAUAGUGGAGCAGUACUGUGAAGGAAAGGUGAAAAGAACCCCGGGAGGGGAGUGAAAGAGAACCUGAAACCUUAUGCUUACAAGCACACAGAGCCCCGUAUGCGGGUGAUGUGGUACUUUUUGUAGAACGGUCCGGCGAGUUAUGGUAUGCAGCGAGGUUAAGUGAUUCAGUCACGGAGCCGCAGGGAAACCGAGUGUGAACAGCACGUAGAGUUGCAUGUCAUAGACCCGAAACCGGGUGACCUAUCCAUGAGCAGGUUGAAGUCAGGGUAAAGCCUGAUGGAGGACCGAACCGACCCCCGUUGAAAAGUUGGCGGAUGACUUGUGGAUAGCGGAGAAAUUCCAAUCGAACCCGGAUAUAGCUGGUUCUCCCCGAAAUAGCUUUAGGGCUAGCCUCGAAUAUAUUUACCGGAGGUAAAGCACUGAAUGGUCGAGGGGUCGAGAGACUACCAACACCUAUCAAACUAAGAAUACCGGAUAAAUGAGUUCGGGAGUCAGACUACGUGAGAUAAGUCUCGUGGUCAAAAGGGAAACAGCCCAGACCCACAGCUAAGGUCCCCAAUGUAUGCUAAGUGGAAAACGAUGUGACAAUGCUAAGACAACUAGGAUGUUGGCUUAGAAGCAGCCACUCAUUCAAAGAGUGCGUAAUAGCUCACUAGUCGAGUGAUGUUGCGCGGAAAAUUCAACGGGGCUAAGCAUACAACCGAAGCUUGGGCAGUAGUGAUACUGGGUAGGGGAGCGUUCUGUACGGGCAGAAGCAUCAGCGGAAGCAGAUGUGGACUGUACAGAAGUGAGAAUGCCGGAAUGAGUAGCGAGAAUUGUGUGAGAAUCAUAAUGGCCGAAAAUCUAAGGUUUCCGGGGGUAGGGUCGUCCACCCCGGGUUAGCCGGGAGCUAAGGCGAGGCCGCGAGGCGUAGUCGAUGCACAAACGGUAGAGAUUCCGUUGCCGCCAGAUCUUAAGUAACUGACACGAGGGUAGAGUUCAACCCGGCCGAUGGUAGAGCCGGGCGAAAGGGACUGAAGAAUAGUAGGGAAGUGAACGAAGCCAGCGGCGAGAAAAGGUUAUGUAUGAAAUCAGGCGCCCGUACCGCAAACCGACACAGGUAGAUGAGGAGAGGAUCCUAAGGCCAGCGGGAGAAGGGUUGUUAAGGAACUCGGCAUAUUGACCCCGUAACUUCGGAAGAAGGGGUGCCUCCGUAAGGAGGUCGCAGUGAAAAGGCCCAGGCAACUGUUUAUCAAAAACACAGGUUUCUGCAAAAGCGAAAGCUGAAGUAUAGGAGCUGACGCCUGCCCGGUGCUGGAAGGUCAAGGGGAUCGCUUAGCGCAAGCGAAGGCGAGAACUUAAGCCCCAGUAAACGGCGGCCGUAACUAUAACGGUCCUAAGGUAGCGAAAUUCCUUGCCAGGUAAGUUCUGGCCUGCACGAAUGGCGUAAUGAUCUGGGCACUGUCUCAACAGCCCGCCCGGCGAAAUUGUAGUACCGGUGAAGAUGCCGGUUUCCUGCGACUAGACGGAAAGACCCCAUGGAGCUUUACUGUAGUCUGAUACUGAAAUUUGGUUCAUUAUGCACAGGAUAGGUGGGAGACAGAGAAACCCGGGCUUUGGCUUGGGCGGAGUCGCCGUUGGGAUACCACUCUUGAUGAACCAAGUUUCUAACCUGCUCCCGUGAUCCGGGAGGGGGACAAUGUCAGAUGGGCAGUUUGACUGGGGCGGUCGCCUCCAAAAGAGUAACGGAGGCGUUCAAAGGUUGGCUCAGCGCGGACGGAAAUCGCGCAAUGAGUAUAAACGUAUAAGCCAGCCUAACUGUGAGACCUACAAGUCGAGCAGUAACGAAAGUUGGAGUUAGUGAUCAGGUGGUAGUGAGUGGAAAUGCCAUCGCUUAACGGAUAAAAGCUACCCUGGGGAUAACAGGCUGAUCUCCCCCAAGAGUUCACAUCGACGGGGAGGUUUGGCACCUCGAUGUCGGCUCAUCACAUCCUGGGGCUUGGAGAAGGUCCCAAGGGUUCGGCUGUCCGCCGAUUAAAGUGGUACGCGAGCUGGGUUCAGAACGUCGUGAGACAGUUCGGUCCCUAUCUGUCGUGGGCGUAGGAUAUUUGAGAGGAGCUGACCUUAGUACGAGAGGACCGGGUCGGACGCACCUCCGGUGCACCAGUUGUUCUGCCAAGAGCAUAGCUGGGUAGCUGCGUGCGGAUGUGAUAAACGCUGAAGGCAUCUAAGCGUGAAGCACACCUCAAGAUUAGAUAUCCCUCCAGCCUUGAGCUGGUAAGGUCACUUGCAGACUACAAGUUUGAUAGGUCAGAGAUGUAAGCACAGUAAUGUGUUCAGUUGACUGAUACUAAUAGACCGAGGGCUUGAACU